rnacentral:rRNA from 1 species
UAUGUGAUCGUCUCUCGCAUAUCAAUAAGCGGAGGAAAAGAAACUAACAAGGAUUCCCCUAGUAACGGCGAGUGAAGCGGGAAGAGCUCAAAUUUGAAAUCUUAAAGGGUUUCCCUUUACGAAUUGUAGUUUAAAGAAGUGUUUUCCGUUGAGGUUUUGGUAAAAGUUCUUUGGAAUAGGACAUCAUAGAGGGUGAGAAUCCCGUAUUUGACCUUUACUUUCAACUUUGUGAUACACUUUCAAAGAGUCGGAUUGUUUGGGAAUGCAGUCCAAAAUGGGUGGUAAAUUUCAUCUAAAGCUAAAUAUUGGCGAGAGACCGAUAGCGAACAAGUACCGUGAGGGAAAGAUGAAAAGAACUUUGAAAAGAGAGUUAAACAGUACGUGAAAUUGUCAAAAGGGAAGCGUUUGACACCAGUGUUGUUUUUCUGAAAAUCAAUUAAAGAACUGUUUAUGCUAAGUUGUUUAGACUUUAUCAGCUAACUGUUUAGUUUCGAGCUUUUCUUUAAUGCACUUUUCAGUUAACAAGUCAACAUCAAUUUCUUUUGCUGUAAAAAAGCUUGAGGAAGGUGGCUUGAGAUUCGUCUUAAGUGUUUAUAGCCUCUUGCCUAUGCAGUCGGAGAGAUUGAGGUCUGCAGCGUAGAUCCCUCGGGGCUAAAUGCAUUUGUGCUAAGUUAUAGCAUUUUAUAGACAACUUGUUGACUAUGAUUUGUCUUGUAGCUUACUCGCUUAUGUUAUUUUACCUACGCUUAGGAUGUUGACGAGACUGUCGAUCUCAUCUAUACAUGACUCUGUGCAUAUCAAUAAGCGAGGAAGGAAAGACACGCAUCAAAGGAACGAUCAUCGAUAAGUUUCGUGGAGACCGCGCCAUACUGGAGCCGGGAAUCCAGAUGCUAGAGGAUGCCAUGUACCUGUGGUCGGAGUUGUUCCUUAUACCUACGCUUAGGAUGUUGACGAGACUGUCGAUCUC